CAGCCGCCGCGGGAAAACGUAGGGUGCGAGCGUUAAUCGGAAUUACUGGGCGUAAAGCGUGCACAAGCGGUUGUGUAAGACAGGUGUGAAAUCCCCGGGCUUAACCUGGGAACUGCGCUUGUGACUGCACAGCUAGAGUAUGGCAGAGGGGGGUGGAAUUCCACGUGUAGCAGUGAAAUGCGUUGAGAUGUGGAGGAACACCGAUGGCGAAGGCAGCCCCCUGGGCCAAUACUGACGCUCAUGCACGAAAGCGUGGGGAGCAAACAGGAUUAGAUACCCGCGUAGUCCCUGUCUCUUAUAC
rnacentral:rRNA from 1 species